CCAAUCGCUGGCGAGCCCGUCUCUACGUCAUCGGAGGGCGACGGUACCGCCAGCUAAUCACAAUCCCUUUCCGGCGCAGGCGUCUCAGCCAAUGACGUGUAGAUGGGGGCGGGCGCGCGGAGGCCGGACGUAGCUGCGGACAGUCGGGAGCGAAGCUCCCAGGUCGACACGGGUGUGUGUGUGCGUGUGUCCGUCUGUGCGUGUGAGCCAAUGAACGCGCAGCUGCCUUGGGUCCGGGCCUCCAUAGAUGGCGAGUGACGAUUGGUGCAGCGGAGUUGACGGGCGGGCCGGCUGGCCAAUGGCGAGCGGCUGCGGGUCCAGGGCUGACGUCAGAGUUCCGCCCUAACAGCCCGGCAGGGCGGCUGGGCACGCGGCCGGCGACUUCGGGGCCUGGGGGCCCUUCGGGAGGGGCGGCGGGACGGGGGAUCCCAGAGCUGGAGCCCGGCGGGGACCGCUGAACCCCCUUUCCUCUCCACCCGGGGUCCAUUCCCCCCAUCUCCGGGAUCACUGGAACCAGGGACCCGGCCGGACCAGCUCUUGGGCCCAAGUCAACUCCAGCACUUAGGGCCAGGACCCCCCUCCCCACCUCCAAGGACCGCGGGACCCUGCAUCCAAGCUCUAGCUCAGCUCCACCCGGGAUCCAGACACCACCCAGCUCCCAUGGGUCGGUGUCGGGGGGAGGCAGGGAACCCCAACCCUGCCCUUGGGGCGCCCCUGAACCUCGGAUAUGCCUUGAUGAAA